rfam:Pongo abelii chromosome 20.
CAAGUACUGGUCUCAGCAGAUUAAGGAAAGCACCACAGUGGUCACCACAUAGUCUGCUGAGGUUGGAGCUGC